rnacentral:rRNA from 1 species
GGCGCUAGAUGUAGGGACCUUUCCACGGUUUCUGUGUCGUAGCUAACGCAUUAAGCGCCCCGCCUGGGGAGUACGGCCGCAAGGCUAAAACUCAAGGGAAUUGACGGGGGCCCGCACAAGCGGCGGAGCAUGCGGAUUAAUUCGAUGCAACGCGAAGAACCUUACCAAGGCUUGACAUACACCGGAAACGGCCAGAGAUGGUCGCCCCCUUGUGGUCGGUGUACAGGUGGUGCAUGGUUGUCGUCAGCUCGUGUCGUGAGAUGUUGGGUUAAGUCCCGCAACGAGCGCAACCCUCGUUCUAUGUUGCCAGCGGGUCAUGCCGGGGACUCAUAGGAGACUGCCGGGGUCAACUCGGAGGAAGGUGGGGAUGACGUCAAAUCAUCAUGCCCCUUAUGUCUUGGGCUUCACGCAUGCUACAAUGGCCGGUACAAAGGGCUGCGAUACCGUAAGGUGGAGCGAAUCCCAAAAAGCCGGUCUCAGUUCGGAUUGAGGUCUGCAACUCGACCUCAUGAAGUCGGAGUCGCUAGUAAUCGCAGAUCAGCAACGCUGCGGUGAAUACGUUCCCGGGCCUUGUACACACCGCCCGUCAAGUCAUGAAAGUCGGUAACACCCGAAGCCAGUGGCCUAACCGCAAGGGAGGAGCUGUCGAAGGUGGGA